AGCAAGGCACUGAAAAUGCCUAGAUGAGUGUACCAACUCCAUAAACA
rnacentral:tRNA from 1 species